rnacentral:rRNA from 1 species
AGAGUUUGAUCAUGGCUCAGAUUGAACGCUGGCGGCAGGCCUAACACAUGCAAGUCGAACGGUAACAGGAAGCAGCUUGCUGCUUUGCUGACGAGUGGCGGACGGGUGAGUAAUGUCUGGGAAACUGCCUGAUGGAGGGGGAUAACUACUGGAAACGGUGGCUAAUACCGCAUAACGUCGCAAGACCAAAGAGGGGGACCUUCGGGCCUCUUGCCAUCAGAUGUGCCCAGAUGGGAUUAGCUUGUUGGUGAGGUAACGGCUCACCAAGGCGACGAUCCCUAGCUGGUCUGAGAGGAUGACCAGCCACACUGGAACUGAGACACGGUCCAGACUCCUACGGGAGGCAGCAGUGGGGAAUAUUGCACAAUGGGCGCAAGCCUGAUGCAGCCAUGCCGCGUGUAUGAAGAAGGCCUUCGGGUUGUAAAGUACUUUCAGCGGGGAGGAAGGUGUUGUGGUUAAUAACCGCAGCAAUUGACGUUACCCGCAGAAGAAGCACCGGCUAACUCCGUGCCAGCAGCCGCGGUAAUACGGAGGGUGCAAGCGUUAAUCGGAAUUACUGGGCGUAAAGCGCACGCAGGCGGUCUGUCAAGUCGGAUGUGAAAUCCCCGGGCUCAACCUGGGAACUGCAUUCGAAACUGGCAGGCUUGAGUCUUGUAGAGGGGGGUAGAAUUCCAGGUGUAGCGGUGAAAUGCGUAGAGAUCUGGAGGAAUACCGGUGGCGAAGGCGGCCCCCUGGACAAAGACUGACGCUCAGGUGCGAAAGCGUGGGGAGCAAACAGGAUUAGAUACCCUGGUAGUCCACGCCGUAAACGAUGUCUACUUGGAGGUUGUGCCCUUGAGGCGUGGCUUCCGGAGCUAACGCGUUAAGUAGACCGCCUGGGGAGUACGGCCGCAAGGUUAAAACUCAAAUGAAUUGACGGGGGCCCGCACAAGCGGUGGAGCAUGUGGUUUAAUUCGAUGCAACGCGAAGAACCUUACCUGGUCUUGACAUCCACAGAACAUUCCAGAGAUGGAUUGGUGCCUUCGGGAACUGUGAGACAGGUGCUGCAUGGCUGUCGUCAGCUCGUGUUGUGAAAUGUUGGGUUAAGUCCCGCAACGAGCGCAACCCUUAUCCUUUGUUGCCAGCGGUCAGGCCGGGAACUCAAAGGAGACUGCCAGUGAUAAACUGGAGGAAGGUGGGGAUGACGUCAAGUCAUCAUGGCCCUUACGACCAGGGCUACACACGUGCUACAAUGGCGCAUACAAAGAGAAGCGACCUCGCGAGAGCAAGCGGACCUCAUAAAGUGCGUCGUAGUCCGGAUUGGAGUCUGCAACUCGACUCCAUGAAGUCGGAAUCGCUAGUAAUCGUGGAUCAGAAUGCCACGGUGAAUACGUUCCCGGGCCUUGUACACACCGCCCGUCACACCAUGGGAGUGGGUUGCAAAAGAAGUAGGUAGCUUAACCUUCGGGAGGGCGCUUACCACUUUGUGAUUCAUGACUGGGGUGAAGUCGUAACAAGGUAACCGUAGGGGAACCUGCGGUUG